UGUGAACCCCUCAAUGGGUUAAAUUUAAUUAAUAAAUAUGAAAGAAAUUUUAAAGCCAGCGUUUGAUGAUACAUUUGUUACAAAAUACCAUUAUCGGAAUGCUCUGAGCGCUGCCGCUGAAAAGUUGCUUUUCGUACAAAAACACCCCUGGCCCUUGUUGUUGCGUGUCGUGUUGAAUUUACAUUUCCAAGUAAUUUGCUUGUGUCAAAAGGUACAUAGCAAGGUGAGAGUUUCGUGAAGAUUUGAGCACUCGGCAUUAGGGUACGGCUGCCAGACGUCCUUGUUUUCUAGGAUUUGUCCUAUUUAGACAAAUUGUCCUGGUGUCCUGGUCCACAUUUAAAUUGUCCUGGUUUUUAAUGAAGUUAGGCUCUCUGUCAAACUGAUAACGAAACGUUUUUUCUAACAUGUUGAAUAUCUGGUGAGUUGACCUUCUUUCUGUUUAGUUUAUUUGGUUAAAAUCUCAUUUUUUUCAGGAAAAUGCCAAAAAAGUGCAUGUUCCCGAUCAGGUACACGGCUGAGGGGUCAUCCAUAAUUACAACCCAGAAGGUAAUUUCAGGAGCUAAAAUCUCAUCAAAAAGGCCUUUCUUUCCUUUCUCCUUCAUUUUUGUAUGGAGUGGCAAAAAUUGAAGGUGUAGGAUGCCUUCUUAAGAAGUUCUUUUAACGUUUUUCUCAAUUCAUAAAAAUCAUACUUCUUUAAGGAA